rnacentral:rRNA from 1 species
GAUGAACGCUGGCGGCGUGCUUAACACAUGCAAGUCGAACGAAGCACUUUACUUGAUUUCUUCGGAAUGAUUGUUCUGUGACUGAGUGGCGGACGGGUGAGUAACGCGUGGGUAACCUGCCUCGUACAGGGGGAUAACAGUUGGAAACGACUGCUAAUACCGCAUAAGCGCACAGUAUCGCAUGAUACAGUGUGAAAAACUCCGGUGGUAUGAGAUGGACCCGCGUCUGAUUAGCUAGUUGGUGGGGUAACGGCCUACCAAGGCGACGAUCAGUAGCCGACCUGAGAGGGUGACCGGCCACAUUGGGACUGAGACACGGCCCAAACUCCUACGGGAGCAGCAGUGGGGAAUAUUGCACAAUGGGGGAAACCCUGAUGCAGCGACGCCGCGUGAGCGAUGAAGUAUUUCGGUAUGUAAAGCUCUAUCAGCAGGGANAAAAUGACGGUACCUGACU